CGGAGAGGUUUUACUGUCCGUACAAGGAGUGCUCGGCUCUUCUAAUUGACGAUGGGAGUGAGAAUGUGGUGCAAUCGGAGUGCCCUGAGUGCUGGCGGCUCUUCUGUGCGCCGUGCAAGGCGGCGUGGCAUGCUGGGAUCGAAUGCGAGGAGUUUCAGAGGCUGAAGAAGGAUGAGAGGAGCAAUGAUGAGGAACAAUAAAUAGUGGAUUCGAUUCAGAAUUUGUCAUUAAAUCUCAAGACGUGGAACCAGUUUUUGCUACAAUUCGGAGGUAAGAUGGAUCUACAUAUUUUCACAACUGUGUAACAAGUCCAUGGUUUUAAUUAUGCUUCCCGCUAUGUUGACAACCUUUUUUUCCGUUAUGUUGAUAGGUUAGAGGUAUAGGUUAGGUCCUUCCAUUGUUGCUCCAAACAUGUAAUUAGAUUGUGAUUAGAUGAAUCACUUUUAAUUACUUUUUAUUCAAUGUUUUUGUUAUAAUCUUAGGUAUGAAUCAUGAAAUUAUAUUUGAAGGUGCAUCUUCCUUGGUAA